AAAACGACUCUCGGCAACGGAUAUCUCGGCUCUCGCAUCGAUGAAGAACGUAGCGAAAUGCGAUACUUGGUGUGAAUUGCAGAAUCCCGUGAACCAUCGAGUCUUUGAACGCAAGUUGCGCCCAAAGCCGUUCGGCUGAGGGCACGUCUGCCUGGGCGUCAC
rnacentral:rRNA from 1 species